CAAUAGAGGUCACAUCAUUAGGUGAAGGUGUGUUUGUUGGGGACGGUGAAGAUGGAAUGUUGGGGUCCGAGGCACGAAUCGUGCCUAAAUCUAAUGGUGGAGAUGUGUUGGAGGGAUUUUCAAAGGGAACAUGCGAGCCAGCUAUAAAGGCAGUGGAAGUAGAGUUAUGUUUUAAAGUUGGUGUUGUGCAUUGAUGUGUUGGAACUAAAAGUGUUGAAGGUAAUUGAGUGUGAGGUUCCGGGGGAAAAAUGCGACGAAGAACUUUAAAAGGGUCGUAGAAAUGACGAGCUAAUUUCUGAGAACGACGACGCACCACGGAAUGUUGUCGAUAAGGUUGAAGACGAAGCCAGACCCAUGUGCCCGAUUCAAAGGGUGUUUGAAACAGUAGCCGAAUGAUGCAGCUGAGGAAUGUAGUCGAGAAGUGUUGGUGGGUGUCGAUCGUAUAGAGCUUCAAACGGACUCAUGCCAAUGGCUGAGUGUCAAGCUGAGUUGUACCAUAGUUUAACAAAGUUUAAAAAUUGGACCCAACGAUGAGGAUGCUCACUAGCAAAACAGCGGAGGUAUGCUUGAAGAGAUCUAUUGAGAACUUCAGUUUGGCCGUCAGUUUCAGGGUGGAGCAAUGUUGUAUGAAAUUGUUCAGAUCCUUGCGAAGCCCCGACCAUGAAAAAGAAGCAGAAAUACGUGCAAGAGGAGUAGAGUGGUAUUCAGUACAAAGUAGAGAACGCCAAUUAAGAUGAUCAGGUAUAACAAUUCUAUUUUUAAAAUAAAUAAGCCCUUGUUUAAAUUGAAAACGAAGAUCUGGUGUGUCUGAUCCUUGUUGAAUCUUGUUUUUCAUAAUGAUUCCUGCCGGGUGCAAGGAGUAAAAGCAACGCAGUUCAUCCAACAUGGUUGGUAACGCCGAAGAAAUUGCCAUGAAAAUUAAUGAUGUUGAAGUAGGAUGAUGACAUCGAGACAAGGCGUCAGCAACACGAUUCUUUUUCCCGGGACGAUAAACAAUGUCAUAACUAAACCCUUGUAGUUUGGGACAUGAGGAAUUUUAAACUUUUUUGAUCAGUAAAGAUACGAAAAUGUCUUCCAAUUAGAAA